rnacentral:rRNA from 1 species
GAUGAACGCUGGCGGCGUGCCUAACACAUGCAAGUCGAACGCUCGCAAGAGAGUGGCGCACGGGUGAGUAAUACGUAGCUAAUCUGCCCUCAAGACAAGGAUAACUGUAGGAAACUACUGCUAAUACUUGAUAAGCUUACGGACUGUAGAGGUCUAUAAGAAAAGAUUUAUCGCUUGAGGAUGAGGCUGCGCGCCAUCAGCUAGUUGGUGAGGUAAUGGCUUACCAAGGCGACGACGGCUAGGGGACCUGAGAGGGUGACCCCCCACACUGGGACUGAGACACGGCCCAGACUCCUACGGGAGGCAGCAGUGAGGAAUUUUGGACAAUGGGCGCAAGCCUGAUCCAGCCAUGCCGCGUGAGUG